CCCUUAGAUGUUCUGGGCUGCACGCGCGCUACACUGAAGCGUUCAACGAGUAUUCACCUUGCCCGGGAGGGUUGGGUAAUCUUUUUAAAACGCUUCGUGAUGGGGAUAGAUUAUUGCAAUUAUUAAUCUUCAACGAGGAAUUCCUAGUAAGCGCGAGUCAUCAGCUCGUGCUGAUUACGUCCCUGCCCUUUGUACACACCGCCCGCCGCUCCUACCGAUUGAGUGAUCCGGUGAAUAAUUCGGACUGCAGCAGUGCUUGGUCCUCCGGGCUUUGCAGCGGAAAGUUUAGUGAACCUUAUCACUUAGAGGAAGGAGAAGUCGUAACA
rnacentral:rRNA from 1 species